UUGGGAGGAUCGUGGUGGGUUUCCUCUGGGUGGAGAUGGAAGAGAUCGAUCAGCUGAUUCUGCGAUUCGGAAGAAGCCAUUCUCUUCCUCUUCUUCUUAUUCGCCUUGUCAUCAUGCUUGAUUUGGGACUCUUCUGGGAGAGUUUUGUGGUUGAGUUGGAGCUUGAGGGAAAGAUACUUGGGCUUCUUAGUCUUGCUUCUGGG
rnacentral:lncRNA from 1 species